rnacentral:rRNA from 1 species
UACGUAGGGUGCAAGCGUUGUCCGGAAUUAUUGGGCGUAAAGAGCUCGUAGGCGGUUUGUCGCGUCUGCUGUGAAAACCCGAGGCUCAACCUCGGGCCUGCAGUGGGUACGGGCAGACUAGAGUGCGGUAGGGGAGAUUGGAAUUCCUGGUUUAGCGGUGGAAUGCGCAGAUAUCAGGAGGAACACCAAUGGCGAAGGCAGAUCUCUGGGCCGUAACUGACGCUGAGGAGCGAAAGCUAGGGUACCAAACGGG